GUUCUAUAUUGUCCUAAGACUUGCUUUUUUCAUUGAACCCUCUACAUCUGGGACAUCACUUCACGCCAGAUACAGCCAGGUCGCCCCAUUCUGUUAAUGUCCAAGUUGUGUCCCACGGCCCCUGACGCACAGCGCGGAGCUGUUAUGACUGUUUGGGUCAGAAUGGCCCAUUUGUGGUCACCUUCAGUUCUCAGAACAUGGUUCCUUUGAACGUGCUCUGCAGCCUGUUUACAUGUGACACAGUGAGCUGGUUUGGGGAAAACCCGUCAGGUCUGGGCUUGUCGGGUGGGGGAAGGUCUGAGGUGCCCUGUCACCCACACACUCUAGACUGAGUCCGAGAUGGUGCUGGUGGGGAAAGUAAAAGCAGGCCCCAGCACCAUGGUCCGGGAUGUUCCCAGUUCCCAAGAGGCCACCUCCACAUCUACGGGUUCCAGAAUGUCAAACCUUCACAGCAUUGUGACUCGUUCACAGAAUGGUGGUGCCUGGUAAUUCACAAAGCAACUCCAGGGGUGACUCACCGGUGAAAACAGAAGACCGGCCCACGUGCCAGCAUCUGCAGGACAGCGUCCAGGAGCGGGUGCAGCCAGCUUCAGGGGGCCAACGCUCCAGCACCUUCCUCAGGCCCCGUGAAUGGGGCCUGGUCGUCUCCCUGGAAGGAACCAGGAGGUCAGAGGACAGCAGGCCAGCCCUUCCGGCCCCAGGAUGGCGUUCAGAAGCUUCUAGAAGCCUCCCAGCCCUUACCUCCUGCCAAAGAUCGAGCCAGUGCUGCCGGCACCCGGGCUGCCCCCACGCACUCAGGAAACAAGGAUGCCAGUGGGGUGGAAUGCCCUCCUCAGUAAUGUUCUGUGCAGCCCGUGCCGUCCUGGAGGAGCAGGGAGCUAACUGGCUGGUAGAUGCAGAGAGGCGGGGCUGUUUCUUUCUCCUGGCUUUGUUCACAUGAGGGAAUUCACAAGGCCAUCCUGGAACGCUACAGUUUGCCUUGUGGAGUUGGCCAGUUCUCCCCCAGCAACUGGGUAUGUUUUCGGUGCAUAACGAGUCAUGUAAAAACCAGGACAAUGUGACCUCUGUCAGGGCUCAGCCGUGAGGGGACUGGGAGGGGAGACGGUGGGGACAGUGGCAGCUACGCCUCUAUAGAGCACGUCUGGCUGGGCGCUGUCCAGGCCCUUUGCACUUAUGAACAUUUAACUCAGAUUACGACCCCACAGAGCAGGUGCGAUGGAUCGCCAUUUUACAGAUAAGGACUCUGAGACACAGAGCCGGUAAGUAACUUGCCCAAGGUCACACAGCUAGGAAAUGGCCGAGCCGGGACUUGAACCCAGGCGACCCAGCUCCACGGCUUGUGUUCUUAACUCUGUUGAGUUUUGUGUGGUUGUCUCUAAUCCAAAGACGUUGGCAAUGGGUGGGCUCUCGGUGACAUACACCGUGGCUGACUCGUCCCCCAUUCCCAGCCUUUCUUCCAUGCCUGCAUCUACCACAGGUCCAGAAAGGCUAUUUGCUUUCCCAGGCUCCCUUGCAGUUCUGGCCAACGAGCUGGAGGCAGAAGUCAACUGGGGAGAUUGUGGGAAAGGUUUUCAUUUCCUGAUAAAAGGAGUAAAGGUAGCUGAUGCCCCCUGUGCCCUUUAUUGCUGUCUUGAAUGUGGAUGCAAUGCCUGGAGUCAUGGCGGCCAUCUCGUGAUCUGAGCGAAAGGCUAGGAGAAGCACGGACAGUGACCUGGAACGACCUCCCCAGUCCCAAGGCCUCUGUUUGUAUGGGAAAAUUAAACCCUGUCUGUU